UCAAACUUGGUCAUUUAGAGGAAGUAAAAGUCGUAACAAGGUUUCCGUAGGUGAACCUGCGGAAGGAUCAUUAUCGAGUCUUGACUGGGGUUGUAGCUGGCCUUCCGAGGCACUGUGCACGCCCUGUUCAAUCCGCUCUACACCUGUGCACUUAUUGUGGGUUUAAGAUGGUGAAACAAAAGUCUUUUACAGGCUUGUGAAGCCAUCUGCGCCUGCGUUUAUUAUAAACUCUUGAAAAGUAUUAGAAUGUAUAUUGGGAUAUAAGGGUAUAUAUAUAUACAACUUUCAGCAACGGAUCUCUUGGCUCUCGCAUCGAUGAAGAACGCAGC
rnacentral:misc_RNA from 1 species